rnacentral:rRNA from 1 species
UGCCUUCUUAUGUUUUGUACAAUAAGAGAUGAGGUGUAAAGGUGUUUCGUGUUCAACAGAGGUACAGCUUAAUUAUUAUUGAGUGAGUGCUCAGAGAAGGUGAAAAGCCUGUGUGGUUGUACCAUCAUGUUGAACCGUGACACUGAAGAGUCUAGUUGUUUGAGAGUACAACUUAAAGCUGGUGGUAAAUUUCAUCAAAGGCUAAAUAUAUGAGGGGACUAAUAGCGAACAAGUACCAUGAGGGAAAGUUGAAAAGAACUCUGACGAGAGAGUUCAACAGUACGUGAAACCAUAUUGAGAAAAACAGAUAACUGUGUUGUUACGUGGUGCGCCUAUCAACAGUCGAUUUGGUAUUGUGAUGCCAUGAGUGUAGGUUGUCUAUUCAGCUGAUUGCUCGUGGUUAGCAUAGCCAGAGAUUCUGUGCACUAGUGCGCACUCAUUCAUUGAGAAACUAUGCUGCUGCGACAUCGGCGURCAUCAGUCCGUACCUAGUACACAGUUGAAUGCUGGGUGUUAGCUGGCUGGCGUAGUUUAGCUGUGUGACAGCUGUGGGUCGCGUUUAUCAAAGUUAGCUGCUGUGUCUGCGAAUUGGUUUAUUCCUUUUUGCGGUGAGCAUGUUGAUGUAGAUAAGCGGCCUAACAUCAAUGGUUAACAUUAGUUAUUUGACCCGUCUUGAAACACGGACCAAGGAGUUCAAAUGGCACGCGAGUCAUUGGGUUUUGACACCCGAAGGCGAAGUGAAAUGCAAACGUAUUGUUAUUUGUGGUUGUUCCAUGAUGAAGCGAUAAGCUACUCAUGCUUCUGGCAUUUGUAGA